GUUGGGGUGGGGCGGGGGGUGGGGUUGUUGUGUGCGGGGGGUGAGAGAGAGAGGGAGUGGUGAAUGGGAAAUUAAGGAUCUUGGGAUAGUUCAGCUUUCAAAGGUCAAAACCAAAUAAAAUCAAAAUUUAGAGUAACCAAACCAAAUAGACAAAACAACAUUUGUUUAGUUUGGUAAUUAAGUUUUCACCAUAUAAUGCUUACCCCUAGAAAGAACAUAGACAACUUCGAUAACAAUUAUAAGCAGGGAUGGGAAAUCUCCUUCUAUAGCCACUUGAUUUAAUUGAACCUCAGCAGCGCAUAAUCAUCAAAAUUUAACAAAAUUAGAUUAAUUUUCUUAGAAACCAGGAAACUUUGUUUGCUAAUCCUACAGCAUUCUUAAUUUGCUUUUGCAUAAGUCUUCUCCAUGUAAGACACACUCAUCACAAAUUUUAACAUUCCAUCUUAUAGUCUGAUAGACUCCAAAGCAAUGUUCUGUACCUACAGUUCACCAAGUCAAUCUG
rnacentral:misc_RNA from 1 species